rnacentral:rRNA from 1 species
AAAGGUGAAAGAUUAAUUUGCCUGAAGAUGAGCUCGCGUCUGAUUAGCUAGUUGGAGAGGUAAAAGCUCACCAAGGCGACGAUCAGUAGCUGGUCUGAGAGGACGAUCAGCCACACUGGGACUGAGACACGGCCCAGACUCCUACGGGAGGCAGCAGUGGGGAAUUUUCCGAAUAUGGGCGAAAGCCUGAAGGAGCAAUACCGCGUGAGGGAGGAAGGCUCUUGGGUUGUAAACCUCUUUUCUUAGGGAAGAAGCUCUGACGGUCCCUAAGGAAUAAGCAUCGGCUAACUCCGUGCCAGCAGCCGCGGUAAU